GCACUGCUGACGAGUCCCACACGGGACGAAGCAGCUGUCCAGUGC
rnacentral:hammerhead_ribozyme from 1 species